rnacentral:rRNA from 1 species
UACGAAGGGGGCUAGCGUUGCUCGGAAUCACUGGGCGUAAAGGGUGCGUAGGCGGGUCUUUUAAGUCAGGGGUGAAAUCCUGGAGCUCAACUCCAGAACUGCCUUUGAUACUGAAGAUCUUGAGUUCGGGAGAGGUGAGUGGAACUGCGAGUGUAGAGGUGAAAUGCGUAGAUAUUGGGAGGAACACCAGUGGCGAAGGCGGCUCACUGGACCGGUACUGACGCUGAUGCGCGAAAGCGUGGGGAGCAAACGGG